AAUAGGAUAAGCUAAGUUUAAGCUAUUGGGCUCAUACCCCAAAUAUGAAUAUUUAUUCUUCUAUUA
rnacentral:tRNA from 1 species